GCCGGGAAGAUAAGGAGAGAGAGGAGGACAAAAAAGAGAAGGAAGAAAAGGAGAAGGAAAAGACUGAGGGAGAAAAAGAGAAGGAGAAGCAGAAGAGGAGGAAGAAGGAAGAAGAAAAGCAGGGAGAUGGGGAAGAGGACAGGAGCAGCAGCAGCUCUGACAGUGACUUGGAGGAGGACCAAGGCGUUGCCAAGGAUGAUGAGAAGGGAGACAAGGAUUAGUCUUUAUGUGCUGGAGCAGCAGCACACGCUAAGGAGGUGGAGAUGCAAAUAGCAGCUUGGGCUGGAGGGCGACUGGACCACUCUUAGCCAA